UUCCUGUGUUUAUGCACUCCACAGAGCUUAGUGCCACCUGAAGUUAUCUCGUUUAUGUGAAGUUGUGUGUCUUUGUGUUUGUUGUCUGUCUGCACCAUUCAGGAAGGUCAUCACUAUGAAAAUAGCAUUCUUGCCUGGGUUGUUCAUUGCUGUGUCCAUCCUCUUUGUUGAAAGCACCUGUCAUUACAGUAGGCACUCAAUAAUGCUUGUUGAGAGAAUGACAAUGACAGACCCUGUAAAUAGUUACUCGCAUGUCAUUUUCUUUGCCUUUUCAUCUCUUUCUGGAUUUUCUGGCCAUAGUCACACAUACAGUCAGUUAUUCUCAGUUACGGAGGAGCUAAUGAUCCAGGAUGUGGAUGGCCCAGGUCCUUGGCUUCCUUCCCUCCCUGGCUUCCUCUCCUCUGGAGAUUCCUCCAGAUCUUUCUGUCUUUUCUGGCCUUAGUUGAGAGGGGUCGAGAGGAGAGUAGGGCAAUGAAAGUCCUAUUAGACAAUUUUGCAAGUUCUAAUAGCUUUUGACAGGUGCAAAGUUGAAAUUAUUGAUCUUAAGAUUCAUUUUUUACCUUAUUUGUGGAUUUAAAAAAAUGCAUCUGUCUUAUAUAUGCAGUACAGUGAAAAGUGCUUUGAAGAAGUUAAAAGCACUGUAUAAAUGUAAGAGAGAAUUAUGUGUGCAUGUGGUCCCAUUAACCUUGGUAAUUGAGACUUGGUUGUAGACUUAAAAUAUAAUUAGUUAUGAUAGAACAGUAGCUCACACUUUUCUAAUGGGUAGAGCCAGACAAGGCUUAGAAAACGUGCCUUUGGUAGAUUUUAUUUUUGAGCCAUCAAAUCAAGACAAAGCUUACAAUCCCUUCAGAGGCUAAAAGGGUGGCAGUAGUGCUGAUUGCUCCUCAACAAGUAAGAAUAGGCAAAUGGUCUUAAAUGAUUGAAUUUUCUUGCUUCAAAUUUCAGGACAAUGAGAACACAGUUUCCUCCGAAAAAAUCUUAGGCUGAUCUUGGAAGAAAGACCCCCUGGAUCAUCUAAAAAUGAAGUUUUCUAUUUAAAGAUAUUAUUGGUGCCACUUGAUAGAUGAAAAAACGGAAGCAAAACCAUUAAGUGCCUUCCCCAAGGUCUUAAAAGAAGUCACCAAGAAGGUGGUGUGGCUCAAGUCUCCUGACUCCAGUUUACUAUUCCCCACAAUAAUGCUGGAAAACCACAUUGGAACGGGAAGACUCAUUCCAAGUACUGCUGUCACACCAGCAAGCUUCAAAGAAGCCUGAGGUGAGAUGUCUGGCCACGUUGCUGGUGCCGUCGCCCUCAAGAAGCCAAACAGGCUCUCAGAGUCUCUCAGGCCCUGCCCCCGGACGUGGCCCCGCCCCAGAGCAUGCUGGGCAGGACCUCCCCGUAGAUCCCUCCCAGUGCCAAUGUAUUCCUCCAGAGGACUCUGAGCUCUGCUUGGUGUUUCCAGCUGUGAUGAGACUCUCUCCUGGCUUUGAUGAAGCAAGCUGCCAUGUUGGAGAGGCCUACAUGACAAGGAACUGAAGGUUGCCUCCAGCCAACUCCAGCCAACAGCCAUCCAGGAAUUGAGGCUCUCAGUCCAACAGGCCUUGAGGAACUGCAUCCAGCCAGCAACUGUAGAAGUGAGCAAAGAAGUGUGUAUUUCCCCAGUCAAGCCUUCAGAUGAGACCCCAGCCCCAGCUGACACCUUAAUUGCAGCCUUGUGAGAGACCUUGGAGCAGAGAACCCAGAUUCUUCGGCGGGACCCACCCAGUUCCUGGACCCCGCCCUGGCCACUCCAGUGUCCACAAUCGCAAAACCCAUCCAUACACACACCUGCACUGACUGCUCACCUGUGAGAUACUCAGGAAUCAGCAACGUUUUCUAAAUGAAGGAUAUAUCCAAGAUUCCUCUUCACGUCCUGCCUCGGUCGAAACUUUGUUGAGAUCGUCUCAUGGAAGCUUCCUGGGAAACUCAAUUCAGUCUGCUGGGGCCUUGCUACUCUGGACCUGAAGCUGACGGAGCUGUGAGUGAGCACGUCUGCCUUUUUGCCGAGAUGUUUCUGUGCAUUUACACAGAGACUCUAGAUUCCUACUGGCAUGGAGGCAGCGGUGUGAGAAUAGCCUCCUUGGAAUGUGGAGCUCCAUUUUAUCCUGGGGUUCGCUGGUGAUAUGAACAUGGCCAGGAAGGACAGAGACUGGUACAUAGGCAUGGGAGGACUGGCUGACCAAAGGAGUGGUGAGAGCUCGAGGACAAGUGGCUUCUUGAGAUUUUUGGAAUGCAGGGACUAAACCCCACAGACUUUCUUGUUGCUUCUGCAACAUGUGCCAUUUCAGGUGUUGAUUUUCAGUUGAGCUAUGAGAGUCUGACUGAAUCUGGGAUCUAUGGAAAGACACUCCAUGGUCCCUAAUCUGGGAUGGAGAAGAAGAUGGUAGGAUUGAGAGUGGGGAUUGAAGGUGGGCAUGGGGCCGGACCUGAGUGAAAGGUGGGGGCUGGGAUUGGGAGUUGGUCUGAGAGAAGGGUUGCGGAUGUACAUCGGGGAGGGGAGGAGGGUGAGAAUGGGGAAGUGGUGGAGAUUCUUGAUCCCACAUCUUGACUGCAGAAGCCUUACAGAUUCCAUUGAAUAAGACAAAAUGAGACCCUAGUGGGGCACUACUACUAGAAACCAGGAGAGUGGCCACCAGGGACUCACUGUGCAGAGAGGGAAGACCCCAAAAGAGCUGGGUAUAUUUCUGCUGCAAGUUUUCUCCCAAAGUCUUGACAUACAGUAGCUGUUGACAAAUGCUCAGCUGCUCUGGUUUGCCUGUGAUGUCCCAGCCAGUUUUGGGGGCUGUGGUGUCUUGUACGUCAAGUGGCUGCAGUGAAUUCCCUGAAGACAUCCGUUGGUUUUCUGAGCACAUUUGUUUUGAAAGUAGUCCUUCCUCCUUUUCUUUCUUGUCUAAAAUCUGGAAAUCCAUUCUCUUUUUUAUUUGUCUUGCCAAGAAUGCCUGGCCGUUAAGGCCAAGGAAAGAAUGGCUGCUGGCCUCCAUGCGAUUGGUAGCAGAGUCUCCCCAGAGACAGGU